CAUUUGGCAACACUACAAAAUUAUGACUAAAUAUUCUCAAGUGCCAAUUAAAUUCCACGGCAAUUUCGCAUAUCAUUUAAUGAUGAAAUUAGUGAUGAAAAAUUCUUUAAUAUAAAACUUUUAUUCCUAUAUUUAACGGCAAUAUAUAAAUUAAAUUAUUUUAUAAUUAAUAAAAUUAGUGAUUAAUCUAUCAUUAAAUUUUAUAUUAUAAUUAAUAAAAUCCAUCAUUAAAUUAAAUUAAAAGUUUUUUAUGAUUAAUAAAAUCUAUUGUUAAUCAAUCAUUUUAUUAAUUUAAAAAUUAGAUAGUUUUGAUUAGAGGGUCACAAAACCUAAUUUCUACAUCUUUUGUCCUUCUGUUCCUUCUUAUUUUUGAACUUGAAGGGGACUCUCUCUCCCUUUCUCUCUACCUCUCUCUCUCUCUCUCUCUCUCUCUCUCUCUCUGUGAUAGUCGUAGCCGUCACUGCUUCCUAUAUCUCUCUCCUGUUCACUCCCUAAGCCUUUCCUUUUUCUUUGUGAAACCGAGCCCCUCUAAGAAGGUUGAGUUGCUUCGUCUCAUUCAAAAGCCUAACCAGGGUGAACUUCAAUAUUGAGCUGUUUUAACAAAGAGGAUUGAACCCAAAGGAUUUCAUUUUCCUCUCUAGAUUGUCCUUCUGCAGGUUUGAAUUUCAAUUUCCUCUCUAGAUUGUGCUAUUUCGAUUGACAUUUUAAAGAAAUAUUUGAUCAAAUCUCACUAAUUUUGAAUCCUAACUUUAGAGCAGGCCGUAUUUUGUGCUUGUUUGCUUGCUUUUGUUCAAUGAAAUUUUGAGUUUGUGGUU